rnacentral:rRNA from 1 species
AAUUGGAGAGUUUGAUCCUGGCUCAGGACGAACGCUGGCGGCGUGCCUAAUACAUGCAAGUCGAGCGGAGUCUUGUUGGAAGCUUGCUUCCAACCUGGCUUAGCGGCGGACGGGUGAGUAACACGUAGG